UUCAUCUUUAUUUAGUUUUCAUUUUGGGCCUUUGUGUUGGGCGAGUACGCUAGGCGUACAAGGAGUACGUUGCGCGUACUUGCGCGCCUCAUUUAAACACGUCAUCGUCGGGUACGCUGGGCGUACCCAAGGUUACGCCGGGCGUAAUCGGUCCAGACCCAAAACCCUAAUUUGAGUUGUUGGCUAUAAAAGGAAUGAGAUGGCUUGGUUCCUCAGCCACCAUCCUUCAAAAAGAAACCCUAAGAGAGUUGUUCCUUCGUUCAUAGCUUGUUUGUGAGUGUUCUAAGCUUUGAGGUGUCAUUUCAAGGUAGCAAAAGGAAAGAGGAGUCCAUUGUGGAGGCUAGAAGUUGGUGUGCAAGUGUAGAUCCGUGAAAAGCAAAGGUUGGAGCUUCUUCCUAAGGAGGGGUUGGGUCUUCGUUUCGAGAUUCGGAGAUAGCGAGCACGUGAGAUUCUAGACUUCCUGCGAGGUACUAACGAGGACCGUGGGAAGGCGCCGGCGUGAUCUGUACACACUGAUGGAGGAUUUAUGAUCUUGGGAUUUAUAUUAUUUGUAUUAUGAUAUGAUACAUUGGAUCUUUAUGACUUGUUUUGGAUGAAAACAUGUUUUUAAGAAAUGAAAAUUUUGUUUUGAAAAUUUACGUUGUUACAAGUUGUCAGAGCCUUGGUUUGAGGGAUUCGGGUGCACCUUCGGGCGUAACUGAACUCAAACCGAGGAUUUGAGAAAAUUAUUCAAAAAUAAAAGCAUAAAAUUUUAUAAGGGAUUUUGUGAUAACUAAGGAUGAAGCAAU